AAGUCGUAACAAGGUUUCCGUAGGUGAACCUGCGGAAGGAUCAUUACAAAUCAUUGAGUAGGAGUGUUGUGCUGGCUGCGUGUGCUUGUCUGUGCGCGUGGCUGGCAUGAUGCAAAUAUUUGCACGAGACUGUUGUGUUGUGAGUUGGUGUUGGCUGGCUGAUUGGUGUGAGUGCGUGCGUGCGUGGCGUGGGGGUGUCGUGAGUGCGUGCAGUGCAGUGUGCCGCUUGCCAGGCUGGCUGGCGGUGCUUGUACAUGUGUGCAUACACACACACACACCACUACAAUGCACAACACACACACACAAGCAGCACAGCAGCAACAACACGCACACACACACACACAGUCUUGAUGUUUACGCUUGUUUGUUUGACAGAGUAAUAUGUAUGACGCAAAAUACCAUGACAACUUUUAACAAUGGAUCUCUUGGCUCUU
rnacentral:misc_RNA from 1 species